CCUUAGAUAGCUCAGUAGGUAGAGCGGUGGACUGUAGCAUUGUACAAAGAUAACCAUAGGUCACUGGUUCAACUCCGGUUCGAAGAA
rfam:Daphnia magna strain Xinb3 contig08205, whole genome shotgun sequence.